GACGAACGCUGGCGGCGUGCUUAACACAUGCAAGUCGAACGGAGUCUAAAAAUUACCACUGAGAUCUUAGUCAGUGGGCGAGCAGCGUCAUGGACACGAAGUGGCCAUCACGCGUUAAAAAGUGCCAACACAGGGCUGAGGCCUGAGUGGUGAUUUUUAGACUGAGUGGCAAACGGGUGAGUAACACGUAGGCAACCCGCCGACAGGAUGGGGACAACAUUCCGAAAGGAAUGCUAAUACCGAAUGGAGUCCGGAGAUGGCAUCAUCACCGGAUAAAAGAUGGCCUCUGAAUAUGCUAUCGCCUGUCGAUGGGCCUGCGUCUGAUUAGCCAGUUGGCGGGGUAACGGCCCACCAAAGCGACGAUCAGUAGCCGGUCUGAGAGGAUGAACGGCCACAUUGGGACUGAGACACGGCCCAGACUCCUACGGGAGGCAGCAGUGGGGAAUCUUCCACAAUGGGCGAAAGCCUGAUGGAGCAACGCCGCGUGAGUGAAGAAGGUCUUCGGAUCGUAAAGCUCUGUUGCACGGGACGAAAACCGAGCUUGAGAAUAUUGAGUUUGGGGACG
rnacentral:rRNA from 1 species